CGCGAAGGUUGGCUCAGAGCGGUCGGAAAUCGCUCGUUGAGUGCAAUGGCAGAAGCCAGCCUGACUGCAAGACUGACAAGUCGAGCAGAGUCGAAAGACGGCCAUAGU
ensembl:rRNA